GACCAUGCAAGUUGGAAUAUUUAGAGACUGAUCAUAAAAUCGUUGAAGCAUAAGGAAAGAGAUAUUUAGGUAUUAUGUUCAUACAUGAUCCUAUAUAUUACAUUGAUGGUAGGUUCAUCGGCCAAAAAAAGGCAUGAGGCAUAUGACAGUCAUUUAAAUCAGGUAGACUCAUCGCUGUGUGUGCCAUCGAUGUUGAAACUGACCUCAUUGUCUAAGCAACUCUUCAUGGUGGGCUGUCAUUGGCAAAAGCAGAUAUGACUUCCAUGCAAUCAUCCAAUCUUAGAUGGAUAGAACUGAACAGUUGCCCCGAGACCAACGGUCCUUGUGUUGAGUGUUAAGUAAACUAAGUUUGGAUGGCCAAUUUGUUGCAUCAUAGCAUCCAAAAGCACUUUUUCCAUCACGGCGGACUGAUGACAGAGAGGAAGACAAUGUAAGCAAGUGUUGAAAGCUUUAUUCUACAUGUGUCUAUAUAUCUAUAAUUUUUUGUGACAAAAAGAUUGCUGAUAAACAAUUGUAAUUGUAAGUGAAUGUGUAGUUCGCAUGUACAAUCUCAAACUCUUGUGGUUUAGACAUGGUAGUAAAUAUGAAGAGACAUGUGCAUAUACCAACAGAUGAUAAAAAAUAAGAAUAAUAGGGUUUUAAGCUUGCUUUUCUGUAGAGGAUAAAGCAUGUACUAUCUGUUAGGUACCAACAAAAUAGCACCUUUACAUGUAUGUAUGACGACGUAUCAAUCGACUUUUAAGUUGUUGAUUACGAACCAUAUACGCAUCAAGGACCGAUAGCUUGACCAAAGAAGGAACUUCAUUAGCAUUUGCCAGAUCAGGCUAUAGAAGCAAAAACAAAGUACCAUCAGGUUGAUCUCUAAUUUUCAUCGAACUAACACAAGGGCAUUUUACACUGCCCGCCAGGCCGCCACCACUAUUGUUGUCCGUAAACAAAUGUUUAUCUACUAUUGUACUCAGGUUAACUUGAAUCAGCCAGCAUGAAUCAGACAUUUCUGAAAUGGGCAUCAACAGAUCAACAUGGUAUGCAUCUACAUGAGACGACCAAUCUUUUCUUGUUAAGAAUGACACAAAUAUUGACCUCAGUGACGGGCAAUAACUAUACUGCUACAUCUGCUUCAGAAGUAAAAUUUCUCUAUCUUUGACCAUGUCUCUAAGGAACAACAUUAGCUGGAAACUGAAAUAAUACUGUGAUGUUGGUCAAGGUUUGCGUUGAAGUGGGUGAAGCGGUCUGAUUCAGUGAUGAUCCACCAGAGGAAGUGACGUGCUGGUGCGAUGCAUAUAGGGGAGGUAGCGGAUCUUGCGGGUGAGGGAGCAGAUCUUGCAAUCGACGUUGAGGUACAUCAACGAUGGACUGGAGGAGACAGGGUGAGUGAGAGAUGGUUUGGUACACGGAGGGGGGAGGAGGGGACGGAUAAGGUCAAGGCAUUAGCAACCUGGCAAGUGGAAUUCAAUCCUAUAGUUGGAUAGUUCCAGUGGAUUUUACUAUAUAGUUUUGUAGCUUUAAUUAGUGAAAAGGCCUCAAUUGGUUUCUGCAACAUGCUUGUCUGUUGGCAGCUGGAGCAUACUUGGCAAAUAAUGGGCCUUGCCGUGAGUGGUGGUGGGUGACCUCGACGAGCAGGGCAAUGGCCAGAUACGAGUCAGGCACCAAAGAUGACUGGAAGCACUCAAAAAAGUUUACCACGCUAGAGCUAUGUCAGGUACCUACUAAUUACAAAAAAUGAAUUUUAGUGAACAGGAGAAUCUUCACCUGAGAUUGAAGUAAGAAAAUGGGAUUAGUUCACCUUUGAUCUGCAAUAGCACAUUUAGGAAUACCCAAUUUAUUCUUCAAUCAUGCAAGUACCCAGGACAAAAACACUUCCAGCUCAUUGGUGAGCAACCUUACCAAAGCUCCUGCAAAUUGGAAAACUAUGAUUUCAGGAGGGUAAAUGACACCAACAACUAUCAGGCAUAGCUCCCAGUAUGAAGUUGGUACCAUUUGCACAUUUGGUACUAACAACAGCUCUAGUGAUAAAGAAAGAUGCAGUGGUAUAUGAAGAAUUCUGUAGGGCAGAAAUAAAUGUUGCUUUUGUACAUCUCUAGUCUAGAAAGAAAUGAUAUAUAGUAGAAAUACUAAAUAUUACAGGGCAAAAGAAAUUACUACCGUCCAUACGCGAGAGGUGACUGAGCUUAAUGCCUAGCAAACUAUUUAAGCCUACACACACAUAGCAAUGUUAAGAUCUCCAUGUAUUUCUUGGAAUGGAAAAGACCUCUGGAUUUUAUACAAAAGCAUGAUACAAUCUGUUUCUCCAUUUUUGAACUCAUUUCAAAUGACUUCAGUAAGAAAAAAAUUAGUUCUUAUCUCGCAACUCAUUGAAACAGACAACCUGGCAUUACAUCAAGGUGACCACCUCGGGUUGCGAAACAUGGCCUAUAAUAAUAUGACAGUAAACACAUAUUCAUAUGAACCUAGGCAGCAAUAACCUCUGAUAGGAGGAAGGGGAAGACCAAACAUGAAUUAUAGAGGACCUCUGGAUAGGCCAUUGGGCACUAAUUGCUCUAAAAGCACACAAAAAGUAAGUUGACACCAACGGAAUACAGUUGCAUCACUUCUCAUGCACCAAGUAAAGCAGAAAUGAGUGAGCAAAUCAAACAAAUAUUCACUCAAGGAGAUCAGAUCCAAUUGGCUAAACACAUAUUGCAGAGAUAGAGUCCUAGUUUUUACCUCGCCUAUUUGUGGCCAGUAACCCCAUGAGAAUCUCAUCUCGUGCAUCAAAAUCCUAUGACCCCCACUCCAAGCAUAAAGGCCAAGACCAACAACGGCGGAGGAUCUGUGAAAGGCAAAGAAAGUGAGAGAAGCACCCUGGUCUGAACCAAUCCAACAUAAGAAUGUGGCCAUUUAAUCAAGAACAAAUAACUGUGAGCGCGUUUUACUGACAAGCUAGAUCAAACAUCAUUAAGAAGAAACAAUCUUAAACAUUAUAUUGAAGUAAACAUUAGGAAGUGCUUCAGUAUUGACUUUUAUCUAAAAUUCUAAACAGGGGAACACCUGGGCUUUACAUUGCAUAGUUCAGUAGAGAUCAUGAGCCACCACUGCAUUGAUAUAAUACGCUCACAUAAUUUGGUUGAUACCAUAUCACACUUGCAAAGGGAGAGACAGAGCACACUUAUAGUCACAUAAGAAUCCUUUCUUUCACAAGUUAAUCCAUAGCUACUGACUUCUAUGCCCAAUAAUCAGAUUAUGAGAUUAAUACAAUGAAGAUGCAAAUUAGUUUUCAUGAUCCAAGGGUAAAUUGUUCCUGCUGGGACAUAUGUUUUGACUUGUAAUUAAUUAUGAACAGAAUAUAUAAUCGAAAUUCAAUCAAGGUUUAUAUCCAGUAUGAAAUAACGCUCAUGAACAUAAUCUAAAGAGGUAGCCAGUAGUAUGUGGGGAGAAAGAACUACGCGGCACAUGACAGCUAGAGCAGCAAAGAAGAAACACGGCUUACCUAUUUCCAGAGUUAACAUCAGAAAAGCAUGUAUCACCAACCUGGAAAAAGUAGGGAAAAUGUUACAAAAUUCAAAUAUAUAUUGAUAUUAAGUAAGAACACAUAACUCAUAAUAGCCAUUCCCGCCAGCACAAGAUCUGAAGCUGAAAACCAAAAUAACUCAUCUCAUUAAGGUACCUCAUGCUGCCGAAACCGACCAAACACAAUCACAACAAGAAGAAUGCAUGGUCAUAAAUGUCUCGAGACAAGAAUUAGAUUAUGGAUAAUUGCGGACAUUUGUCGGUACGUAAUCUGCUUCAGCUAAUCGGUCCAGAUUCUCCAUGAAAUACUGUGCACUGCCAGGAACUUGCAGCACACAUCCACACAAGUAAGUUUGGUACAGAUGUAUUUCUUUAAAAUAAAGCUGGUUGUUUGACAGUAUACACAUUUACAGAAAUACGAACUUCUUUUCAACUGGAUGGAUGGAUCUUUCCAUAGAUUUACUACAUCCUGUAUGACUUCUUUGUUAAGGGGAGGGUAAUCCAACCUGAUUUCUGAUAGUUUUUCUCCAAUCUCCUAAAGAUAGGAGAGCAGUACACUAUAAAUAAACAAACUUCAUAAUCUCAAUAAUACUUUAUACUUGACAAAGUCUGUACCGUAGUAGCCUUGCGACGACAUGAGCAACAAUAUAUUUCAGUUAUGAGAAGAACACCGUAUAAAGUUAGUAUUCUUUCUCUGAAGAAAUCAAGUGUAAUAACAAGCAAAGAGUAUAUAUUCCUCAGUUAUGAGAAGAAUAAUAAUUUGUGGGAAAUCAAAGAAGUGAUACAUAAAAAGGACAGGUUAGAGACCAAACUUUGUAUACUUCAUUUGGUUGAAUCAUCUAAAGUUGAAUGCAUAUCCGAGAAUGACGGUGGAAAAGCAGCAAAACACAAUACUACAGCAGAGCGUAAAGCAGGUGCAAGGUCUGAACAAGUUCGAUGAUAGCCUAGUUCUAAGUGUUAACUGUAAUGCUGCUUCAGCUGUAACAAGUUGUUCAAGUUGCAAGAUAUUGGUGUUUAAGGCCAGCCCAAAUGUAACUCUACUUACUGAACAAAAUAGGAUGUACGAACCUGAUUAUCAGGUAAAAUAACAUAUUUUGAAGACUGGUUCCAUUUGGGCAAGCUCUUUGGCUCCAUCAUACAGUAUCUACGCAAAUUAAACUCAUUACUCAGGAGAAAACGUGCAAACACACUUCCAAAGGAACAUCAUAAAGCUGCCUACACCUUUGCAUGAAUAGGAACUGGGUUGCCCAGAAGUACAAACGCUCAAAUGUAGACUCUCAUACCACCCAUGAUUUGCUCCCUUAUGUCCUUUCCAUAUGCACAUACCUCAUAACUUAUUUUAUUUCAUAC
rnacentral:lncRNA from 1 species